UGGGUGACGAGCGGCGGACGGGUGAGUAAUGUCUGGGAAACUGCCUGAUGGAGGGGGAUAACUACUGGAAACGGUAGCUAAUACCGCAUAAUGUCGCAAGACCAAGGUGGGGGACCUUCGGGCCUCACACCAUCGGAUGUGCCCAGAUGGGAUUAGCUAGUAGGUGGGGUAAUGGCUCACCUAGGCGACGAUCCCUAGCUGGUCUGAGAGGAUGACCAGCCACACUGGAACUGAGACACGGUCCAGACUCCUACGGGAGGCAGCAGUGGGGAAUAUUGCACAAUGGGCGCAAGCCUGAUGCAGCCAUGCCGCGUGUGUGAAGAAGGCCUUAGGGUUGUAAAGCACUUUCAGCGAGGAGGAAGGGUGAUGUGUUAAUAGCCC
rnacentral:rRNA from 1 species